UUGAAAUUUAUACCGAGAAAAGUUUGUGCUUUUGAAACAUAUUUGAUUCAGAUUUUCAUCCAAAUUGCAAGACAUCAUCAGAUGUUCAAAUAUCUGUAAUUGGCGACGACUGAAAUGUAAGUACGAGUACUCAACUCGGUUCAUCCCCAAUAUCAACUGUCCUGAUAUAACGACAGAUAACACCACGAUCAAAGUGCACGGAUGUAAACAUGGCGACUUUCUUUCACUAUGUAUUACCUCUUUAUGUUGAAAUCCUCCUGGGCACUCUAAUCCACACGCGCCCCAUUCUGUGUGUGUGUGUGUGUGUGUGUGCGUGUUGACAUGUUUGUGCGCGUCCACUCGGCUUUGUAUCGGCGACUACAUGCGUGCUUGGCGCUUGUGUUUGUUGUGCCGUUGCCUCGCAGGGUCCCCACGGUGGCUGUUCCCCGCGCUCCAGACGCCUGCUCGGGCGAUAGCAUUGUCUGCGUGUCCAAAGACCUGCCGGCUGCCCUAUUCCACCAUGUCUUUAUCAUGCUAAUACAGCCAGAGACGGAAGCAGGGAGGCGGGAGAGGGGAACGAUAGCUCCGCAAAUAGAGGAGAGUUAAUGGAGCUCUUUGUGUGCCGCUUGCCUUCAUGUCGCCGCCGCUACGACACAAAAGGUCAGCUCCGCUACCACCUGACAAGGCGGCGCGGACGCCGCAGACCUCUCGUUCACCAGGGUGACGGUGGCCGCACGGGUGACGUGGACAUUUGAGGACAAGUUCCUGAUGGAAGUUUCACGUCACCUCUUGACCUCUUCACACCCAAGUGCCUCAAUGUGGACGGCGUGGCGCCAUUGCAAGCACAGUCUUGGAGGUUAACACAAGAGUACACCGCCGUAUGGUUGCGAACCUCCGCGGAACACCUGCUCUCCCGAUGUGCAUCCAAAUCUGUGAGGCCGAAUCGAUUGGGCCACCUCGGGGGAUGGCACGACGGGCCCGCGUCGAGGUGAGGGGGCGGGGGGGGGGGGGGGUGCGGUUGAGCGCUGGGCGCGGCGGUCUUCGUCUGCCAGCCUCAUUCUUCAUGCUUCUUUUAAGAGAGACGUGCGGGCGAAAUAACACCUGCUCAUUAGGAGCACGGCGCCUCCUGGCUAAUUCAUUGUGGACUGUCACGAUCUUGUGUACGACCCCCGGGAAACACAUAAAUCACAUGCCGAACCGAGCGGUCGAGCGGCCGGCUUCGUGCCCCCAACGCCGCUGAUUUAUCAAGCAAAUUACUGCGAGUCCUCCUCGGCCCAAACACUUUGCAGAGGAAAUCACCGACUAACCCCUGAGCCAACCGAUUUAUUGAAAAACUGCUUCCCCCCCCCCAUUACCCCCCCCCCCCACCAGCCCAACAUCCCUCAGCCCACACUCACCCAACCUCCUCCACCAUCUCUUCCCGUGCCACUCCACUCAUCUUUCACCGACUUAAUUAAAAUCCAUCCCGUUGGCUCGUUGGCAUUUAUUACAACCAGCGGGCUAAUGAAACAAAGACAACGACAAACCCAAAGCUGCUUUGUGCCAGUAAACAUUUUACAGCACUUGCCCCUCCUCCCCGCACACACACUUAAAUAUAAGGCCUUCCGACCGUAGUGACAUUUAAACAAGGUUUAAGGUAAGGGAGGGUAAGACGACGAGUUUGCGUUAGUCAAUUAUAUGAACCACAAAAGCAGGGAAGAAAAACAAACAGAUAUAAGGGAAGCCCGAUGGGGGGUGGGGGCCGCACUCAUUACAUGACAUUGAGUUUUCUUGGCUCAAAACUCAAUCAAUGAGAUGUUUAGUGCCGCAUGAAGAUGAGCGAAUAAGCAUAUAUUCUGUCAUAUUUUACAACGCAUAUUAACAAAUGUGCGUUAUAAACUGUUUGGGGCGCACUGCAGUUUGGUGCCUUCAUCUGAAUAGGAGCGUCUGCAGAAGGGUUUUUAAAAAAGAAUGUGGAUAAUAAUUGAUCCCUAUUGAUAUUUCCUGAUGUGCAUAGGCUCUUCGGUUUACGACAGAGUUCCGUUCCCAUGGCGUCCACCUCAGCCGAAUUUGUACCUUCGUCGAAACUCGUCACCAGGCUUUAUAAUUGUUUUGGAUUUUUCAUUAAAGUUGGUUUUCAUCUCGUUUUGACCUUUUUUUUAAUUAUUGAAAGUAAUUUUUAUUUUAUUUGUUUUUAUCCUUUUUAAUUUUUCAAAAACAUGACAUUUUAAUUCAUUUUUAUUAGUUUUAGUAUUCGUUUUUUUUCUAAAUAUGUGGACUCUUUGUCGUAUAGAAGAAAAAAGAUCACUUGGUGUUAUUUAAUAAAGUAAAGCAAACUAGAAUUGUCAAACAAGUAUUUUACCUUUCUUCUUCUGGACGCUAGUAAUACAAAAAAUAAAUUUUGUAUAUAAAAUUACAAAAACAAUUAAUUUAUAUACAAAAGUAAUUUUGUAUAUAAAUUAAUAUAUAUAUUAUUUAUAUAUAUAUAAUAUAAAAUAAAUA